rnacentral:rRNA from 1 species
UAUGUAGGCGGGACUGUAAGCGUCUUGUGAAAUCCCUCGGCUUAACCGAGGAAUUGCUCGGCGAACUAUGGUCCUUGAGGCAAGUAGGGGUGCAUGGAACUCUUGGUGGAGCGGUGGAAUGCGUAGAUAUCAAGAGGAACGCCGAUGGAGAAAUCAGUGCACUGGGCUUGUCCUGACGCUCAGAUACGAAAGCGUGGGGAGCGAACAGGAUUAGAUACCCUGGUAGUCC